rnacentral:rRNA from 1 species
GAUGAACGCUGGCGGCGUGCCUAAUACAUGCAAGUCGAGCGAACGGACGAGAAGCUUGCUUCUCUGAUGUUAGCGGCGGACGGGUGAGUAACACGUGGAUAACCUACCUAUAAGACUGGGAUAACUUCGGGAAACCGGAGCUAAUACCGGAUAAUAUUUUGAACCGCAUGGUUCAAAAGUGAAAGACGGUCUUGCUGUCACUUAUAGAUGGAUCCGCGCUGCAUUAGCUAGUUGGUAAGGUAACGGCUUACCAAGGCAACGAGGCAUAGCCGACCUGAGAGGGUGAUCGGCCACACUGGAACUGAGACACGGUCCAGACUCCUACGAGAGGCAGCAGUAGGGAAUCUGCCGCAAUGGGCGAAAGCCUGACGGAGCAACGCCGCGUGAGUGAUGAAGGUCUUCGGAUCGUAAAACUCUGUUAUUAGGGAAGAACAUAUGUGUAAGUAACUGUGCACAUCUUGACGGUACCUAAUCAGAAAGCCACGGCUAACUACGUG